UCAUCGAAGUGGAGCGUGCAAACUUAACCGCUGCACCACAGGGCUGGCCCCUCCUUUAUGUCUUUCACAUUUAGAGUCUGGUUUAGAAUGACUUCUAGUUUCCCAAAGUCAUAAACACAUUCUCCUAUAUUUCUUCUGAUACAUUUAGGGUUCUGUCUUUUAUGUGUGGGUCUGUAAUCCCUCCAGAAUUUAUUUCUGUGAAUGGUGUUAGGUAGAGAAUCUAACUUUAUUUUUAUUAAAACAAAUGAUUGAUUGUCCCAAUGCCAUUACUGAAUCGUAGUACUUCCCCACCAAGAGGGGAUCCAUCCUUAUUGUAUGUCUCGCCCUAACUGGGCUGAACCAGCCCUCUGCGGGAAGAACCCACACCAAGAAAAGGCUGCUGAAAUGAGGCGAGUACCCCAGACUUAUCUAAGCGAGCAGGAUGCGUCCUUAAAAUGAAGAUUGUAACUUAGUUAUUUCAGAGCCUGUCUGGAAGAACACACAUACAGGAGUAUACAAAAAGGGGAAUUAAAUAGCAAGAACUGGGUCGUGACUGCCUGGCACAGGAAUAAUUGAUUCAUUGGAGAAACACAUAAAAUUUUCCAGGCCUUUCCGUGGCUUGAAAGGAACAGCUUUCUACGUUAGUCCAUUCCCUCACCUCUGACUAUGCGCCCCUGGGAAACUUUCUGCUGGCCUAUCCAGUUUGACGGGUACCUUGAUAUAAACGGAGGGGAUGCCCACAGAGAGGAACUGAGUGUUUCAGGCACAUCUACUUUUCUGAAUUGAGAAAUUGCUAUUCUGGUGUACAAAUCAGUCCUUUAAGAGACUUUAAUUGUGUCGUUUACAUAGCUCAAGCCAUACAGUUUCUGAAUUUCUAAUUCUGUGGUUUUACCUCCAGUGCCUGGUACACAGAAGGUACACAGCACAUCUGUUGAAUGAACCGAUGGCUGAACCAUCGCUGCUAUUCUGUCAGGAUCAACUGCUGCAAGGGGAUUCUCUGGGCCCAGGAGAGGAUGAGCCGACUCACCAUCCCCAGUCAACCUACGACCUCUGAUCAACCUACGAUCGAUGGAAGAGGGUAAUGGGGAAAGAUACGGAGGUAGAGGUCUCUAAGAAAAUGAAAACGAAACGUCUGCCAAUUGUAUAUGUUAAACAAUUUCCAUUUAACUUUUCAUUUCAGAACUGUUUUAGUCAGUUAGAGAAACACAUAUGUUACAUUUAUAGAAACAGGAACUCUCUUCACAUCACAUUUCAGGGACCACUGGGUCUCGUCUGUUCGUGUGAAUAUUCCUGUGUGGAGCAGAAGCGCCCUCCAGUGCUUCAGCUCUAAGCUCGAGGUGUGAUGGAAGGAAAAGGGCGGCAGAAAAGGUUAAGAAAAAACUAAAUAAGAUAGGAAAGGAAGACAAAAGGAACAAGCUGGAGUAAGGCAAAGGGUGUAGGAGCUAGAUAGCCUCCUGGCACCAGCCCUGCCUGUGCUCAUCCCCUUCCUGGGGUAGUUGCCCUGUCUGAUAUUUUCAGCGCAAACAUUUAGCAACUGCAGCUUCCUCUAUCAUUAGAGGAGGAAAUGAAAGAGCACGCACAAUUACAGGCUGAGAAGUAAUUGCCGGGGCCAAAAUGAGAAAUCAGCACAGAAUGGUUUUUUUAAAAGGAAAAUCCACGUGUUGCAACCUGCCUAGUCACCGGACUCUUAGGGCUCCGACCCGCAGACGGUCGUCAUUCUUCCUUCCUUGUAGACGGUUCCCUCCCUAGUUUUCUAACUGGUCAUUGUGUUGUUAAUAAACACAGCAGGGCCCUUCAAACCUCUCUGAAACAUCUGAAAAUGAAUUCAGAUUCUGAUAAGAAGCAUUUCUGCAUGUCAAAAUGUAAACCACUUGACUAGUGUUUCAUUCCUCUCUACCUGUUAGGAUCUUCCCUAUUUAAGGGAAAACUCUGAGCUAAAAUUUAAUUUAAAUACUUUCAAGAGGCUGUGGUUUUAAGAUGACAGACAAGGAAGUUUCUCUGUAAGUUUACGAUUUAGAAAGCCGAGGGUCGCAGUGGCUCCCUCUAACGACCAGAAAAUGCCACAAUCUAACUGUGGUUUUGUUUUCAAGCUUAGAGGCUGUCGCCCAUUUAAAGACCUUGGUGAGGCUGUUUCCUCUCUCACCACCUCACUUAAAAGUGUCUUCAUCGCUGUUCAGUCAUUGAAGACAUAAACCCAAAAACGCCACAUAAAAAUAGGAACAAAAAUUAUAAUUUUUAAAAGUAAAUCAUUGUCUAUUUUUAAAGGUAGGGCUGAGGGGGUGGGAGAAUCGGGGAAAUGUUGGUCAAAGGGUAAAAACCGGCAGUUAGAAGAUGAAUAAGUUCUGGAGCGUGAGCGCAGAGCACCGUGACUACAGUUAACAACACGGGAUUAUUGACUUCAGCGUUGCCGAGAGACUAGAUCUUAACUGUUCUCCCCACAAAAUGAAACGAGAAGUACGUGAGGCGAUGGAGACGUUAGCUAACGCUGUGGUGAUCAUAUUGCAAUACGUGUGUCAAACCAACACGUUGUACACCUUAAACCUACACGUUAUCUGCCAAUUAUAGCUCAAUAAAAAUGAAAAACAAAAGCAAGCAAAAAAACCCCAACAAAAUACAAGACAGACCAAUGGACGUUUAUUUAAGAGUAUCAAUUUACUUGAUUUGUGAUAGGUUUUCUGAAUCAGUGGAUGUUUAAAAACAUUUAUUUCUAAAAUUUCAGUAAAACUAAUAUCACUUAAAUUGUGGAAAUAAAUCACUUAAAAUUUAAAUAUCAAUUUUAAAAAAGUAAACUAGAGUCUUUAUCACAAUUAAAAAUAAACAAAUAAAGUAAAAAAAAAAAAAAAGUAAACCAGGAUCUAGAGCAGAACUUUGUCCAGCACAGGAGAAAACAGUCAUUUAGCUGGAUGGAGAGAGAAAUCCUGUGCGGCCAGUCGCGCGGGGGUUCUCGAAUGACCACUGCAGUCCUCUCAGCCAGGUAUCAAAACAUCUUAAGCAGGAUUUGGCUGUGAUCCUUAAUUCAUACAUUUGACAAAUAUUUAUUGACACAGCACAAGGCAUCUGAAAGAGAACCUGAUCAAAAUGCACAAAGUCCUCGCCUUUUCGGAGCUGGCAGUGCAGUGAAGGAGAAAGACCAGAAACAAACAUGUAAUUGCAAAUUGGGAUGGAAGGAAAGGAAGGAAAAGAACUGGGCUCUUAAAAGAGACUAACAGGGCAUCCGGACACACAGACGCAGACUGCCGCGCUCUGCGUGCGUGCGGGCAGUGAGCCACGCAGAGGGUGGGAAGGGCCCUGCAGGCGGACGGGAACCGACAGACGCUGUGAGUGGCGGUUGCUCAGUGACUCAGGGAGCUGAGGUCUUUGCCACAGUUGGUGGUGUGUUAAUAUUUCCUUGUUCAUAGACGCGUUCUCGCAGGACAGUUCAGUGUUUGGGAUAUGGUCAUGUCCUCUGCCCUUCAGAUCGAGGGUCUGCGAUGAGGGCAAUGCCUCCCAUUUCUUCCCGCUUCUCUGGGUUUAGUACAGGGUGCUGCCUGCCUGCAAAGGACUCAUGACCCAUGCCACCAACUGAACACAGGACCGCUUCCGAGAGUCUACCCGGUCGGGAAAGUCCUCUUGGUUAGACCGCUUCCCCCAGGGAUUUUGUAUUCCCAGCAUCUAACAGAGCGCCUGCCAUCGUCAGUGCUGAAUAAACAUUUGUGGAAAAGGGAAUAAAAGACCAGGAGACAGAGGGCACAGGCCCAUGCCUCGAUGGAACCACGUGACUUCCAGAAGCUCAGCGCAGGGCUCCCUGGUGAGAAGCAAGGGUCCACGAUGAGGGCUAAGGACCAGAUGGCGAACCCCUGGACCGCGUUGAGAAGAUUCGAGGGACGGUCUGGACCCGUGCUCCCACACCUGCUCUGAUGGAGACCCCACAGCCCCGGCACAAGCACACUUUAACGGGGAGAAGGAGAUCCAGCCACUCGUGCGCCGUCCUGCUGCGCCUGUGUGAAGCCCAGAAGUUGUGAGCGGGUGAGCUCUGACCCUUCACCUGUCACCUCUGUUUCUGGCCCAUCCAGAAUGGAAGGAUGACAGACAGGAGGACUGACAGACAGGGAGGCUGGGAGGCUGCCGCCGGAGCGGAGCAUGAGGAGCUCCUGCAGUUCUCAGUGGGUAAUCCAGCCCCGCGUUCCCUCCUGAUCGCUCUUCACCCCUCCUGCUCCCUCACCCGCCUUCCUAAGGCAGCAGCGAGGCUCAGGGGGACUCUCCAAGGGGACUCACGGCCGCAGGGAGAUGCGUUCACUCACCUGCCAAGUAUCUGUUCAGCGCCUGGCUCCGUAUUUACCAACAAACAGCGCCCCCCCCCGACCCCUGUGACGCUUACCUUCCAGUGGGGCAGGGGCAGUGAACAAUAGAUGAGUGCAUUAAAAUGGUUCCAACAAGAAGUUACAAGUUCUGUGCAAACAAGAAAAAGCAGGGCAGGGUGAGGAGAGUCUAGAGUGCUGGGAAAGAGGGUGAGAGCAGCUGUGGCGGGAGAUCAGCCAGGCCUCCCUGAAAAGGUGAGGUUUUUGAGGAAAGACGAGAAGGAAGUGAGAGAGCCACACAGACGAUGGGGGAAGGGCUUUCCAGGCAGAGCUGAGCAGACACCCCGGGGUGGGAGCACACCGGGAUGUUCGGGAGCGACAGCAUGAAGGCCAGUGGCAGAGGCAGAGGCGGCGGCCAAGGGUGAGACGAGAUGAGGUCACAUGCUACGUGGCCCUGAGGCUGCCACGAGGUUUGGCUUUUCAAGUAAAAUGGUGUGCGACUGCAGGGUUCCGAGCAGAGGGGUGACGUGAAGGGACCACUGUGGCUGCUGCACUGAGAACAGACUUUGGGGAGCAAGGGUAAAGUGGGGAGACCCUUAAGGAGGCCUCUGCAAUAGCAGGAGAAAUGGUACGACGAGUUUGGAUUCUGGAUAUGUUUGGAAGGUAGAGCCAACCAGCCUGCCAGACUGGACACAUAGGCGAGAAAAAGAAACGUCAGUAAUGACUCCAAGAUUUCCAUCUGAGAAAACGAUAAGAUGAUGUUGUGGGAGGAGUGGGUUUGGGGCCCGGGGGAAGAUCAGCUCAGUUUUGGGUGUGUUUAGUUUGAAGUAUCUAUCAGACGUUGAGCAGACCACUGGAUUAAUGAGGUGUACAUGAGACGCCCAAUCUUACUGCCUCAGGCACUUCGUCCCCCCACUAAGCUCCAAGGCUCUCAUGGGCUGGGGAGGUCUGCGAACUCAGAGCGGCUCACAGAAGACCCUGUCCUGAACGAAGUAACCAAGAGGCCAGGCUGAGGCAACCACAGAGUUCCUCACAAUCCACUCACCUCGUGGUUCACCCUGGCCACUCCUUCACUUUCUCCCCACAGGGCUGGUGACGGCCCUUCUCCAACUCUUUGUAGACCAGGUUUUUACUUCCCCCCCACUGCAGAGUAGUACUUGUGUCGAAUACCAAAUCCAACGCCUGGUUGCCAUAGCAAUAUCCCUGCUGUAAAAGUCCCCCAACACUUACUCCCAGUUUCUGCACUGACUUUGUUUGAACAGGUAAGGAACCGUUGGUGGCCUGGCGCUGGUGCACAGACCACACCCUGACCCCGCUGCUCUAGAGGACUUUUCUCAGGGGCAUGAUCCAGCGCUAGUUCAUAAACCCUGUGAUGGUCAUUCUGAGUAAAUACCAUUUCUAGAA